rnacentral:rRNA from 1 species
UACGUAGGGGGCAAGCGUUGUCCGGAAUUAUUGGGCGUAAAGAGCGUGUAGGCGGUCCGGUAAGUCGGCUGUGAAAGUCCAGGGCUCAACCCUGGGAUGCCGGUCGAUACUGCCGGACUAGAGUUCGGAAGAGGCGAGUGGAAUUCCUGGUGUAGCGGUGGAAUGCGCAGAUAUCAGGAGGAACACCUAUAGCGAAGGCAGCUUGCUGGGACGUUACUGACGCUAAGGCGCGAAAGCGUGGGGAGCGAACAGG